UUUUCGGUUAAAUCUAUGCGCUCAACGUAUAGGCCGCCGAAAAUACUGGGCAGCUAGGGAGUGGGAGAGGUACACGGUACUCAAUAGGAAGGGGUAAAAUCCUUUGAUCUAUUGAUGACCACCUGUGGCGAAGGCGGUGUACCAGAACACGUUCGACGGUGAGGGAUGAAAGCUGGGGGAGCAAACCGGAUUAGAUACCCGGGUAGUCCCAGCUGUAAACGAUGCAGACUCGGUGAUGCAUUGGCUUGUGGCCAAUGCAGUGCCGCAGGGAAGCCGUUAAGUCUGCCGCCUGGGAAGUACGUACGCAAGUAUGAAACUUAAAGGAAUUGGCGGGGGAGCACCACAAGGGGUGAAGCCUGCGGUUCAAUUGGAGUCAACGCCAGAAAUCUUACCUGGGGCGACAGCAGAAUGAAGGUCAAGCUGAAGACUUUACCAGACAAGCUGAGAGGUGGUGCAUGGCCGUCGCCAGCUCGUGCCGUGAGAUGUCCUGUUAAGUCAGGUAACGAGCGAGACCCCUGCGUCUAGUUGCUACCAUUACUCUCUGGAGUAGUGGAGCGAAUUAGACGGACCGCCACAGUUAAUGUGGAGGAAGGAAGGGGCCACGGCAGGUCAGUAUGCCCCGAAACCCUAGGGCUACACGCGGGCUGCAAUGGUAUUGACAAUGUGUUCCGAAUCCGAAAGGAGGAGGCAAUCAUCAAACGAUACCUCAGUUAUGACUGAGGGCUGUAACUCGCCCUCACGAAUAUGGAAUCCCUAGUAACUGCGCGUCACUACCGCGCGGUGAAUACGUCCCUGCUCCUUGCACACACCGCCCGUCGUUUCAUCGAAGUUGGCCUUUAGUGAGGUAGUGUCUUGUUGGCAUUAUCGAGCUUGAGGUCAGUGACGAGGGAAAAGUCGUAACAAGGUA
rnacentral:rRNA from 1 species